GACACCAUGGCCGACGGGUUAAGGCAAUGAGUCAGAGUUACAUAUAGUGAACCUUGUUUGUGUCAUUUGUCUCGUUUAUGCAGGUUCGAGCCCUGCUGGUGUCA